UCGGGAAUCUUCCGCAAUGGGCGCAAGCCUGACGGAGCGACGCCGCGUGAGCGAUGAAGGCCUUCGGGUUGUAAAGCUCUGUGGGGAGGGAAGAAUAAGGGCAAGUUAAUAUCUUGUCUGAUGACGGUACCUCCUUAGCAAGCACCGGCUAACUCUGUGCCAGCAGCCGCGGUAAGACAGAGGGUGCAAACGUUGUUCGGAUUUACUGGGCGUAAAGCGCGUGUAGGCGGCUUUGCAAGUCGGAUGUGAAAGCCCACGGCUCAACCGUGGAAGUGCAUCCGAAACUGCAUGGCUCGAGUCUCGGAGAGGAAGGUGGAAUGCUUGGUGUAGAGGUGAAAUUCGUAGAUAUCAAGCAGAACACCUGCGGCGAAGGCGGCCUUCUGGACGAUGACUGACGCUGAGACGCGAAAGCGUGGGGAGCAAACAGGAUUAGAUACCCCCGUAGUCC
rnacentral:rRNA from 1 species